rnacentral:rRNA from 1 species
AUGUCGAGCGUCGCCGGAGGCGUGGUUGGGAGGACGGCCGUGUUUUCGGCGGCCGGCGGCGGCGCACCUCUUCACGUUCUCGCGGUGGACGAUAGCUCCGUCGACCGCGCCGUCAUCUCCGGCAUCCUUCGCAGCUCUCGGUUCCGUGUGACGGCCGUGGAUAGCGGGAAGAGGGCCCUGGAGCUGCUAGGAUCGGAGCCCAAUGUGAGCAUGAUAAUUACGGAUUACUGGAUGCCGGAGAUGACGGGAUACGAGCUCCUAAAGAAGGUCAAGGAGUCAUCCACGCUGAAGCAGAUCCCCGUGGUGAUCAUGUCCUCGGAGAACGUGCCGACAAGGAUCAGCAGAUGCUUGGAGGAAGGCGCAGAGGAUUUCCUGAUGAAGCCCGUCCGGCCGUCCGACGUGUCGCGGGUGUUCAACCGGGUGCUCCCAUGA